UGCUCAUCUCCCGCCACCAAAAGCUCUCACACUAGUCGAAGCCUUCACAAUGUUCGACGGGAUCGGAGCCACCUAAUCGUUUCAGACCUCAAGCUACUUUUCAACCAGUCUUCCCUCCUGCCAUCAACUCUCUAAGAUCAGUUCGCUUCUCUGUCUUUGAUUCCCAAGAAGAUCAGCUCACUUUUCUUUGUGCAUUACUCCCUUCAGUUCCUGCAAUGCUGCUCCGAUUCUAAUUACAGUUUUGAAAAUAUAUGAGGAAAUGAUGGAGAAACAUGGAAAUGAAUUAAAAAGUCAACCUUAGCACAUUUUCUUACUCCGGCUGGGAGAAAGCAAGCUAGACAUGGAAGGAGGGUCGGCAGCCAGAUCAAACGAACUCCAAAUGAGUUGAAACUUUCCAGAUCCAUUCUAGAUAUCCUAAGGAUCAUUUCUUAUGAAGAGUUAAAGAGUUAUUUCGGAGUGGAAGGCCUUCAAAAGAUUGGUCCAAGUUUCUGACUAAAAGAUGAAAAUGGCAACACCGGACCUGUACAGAUUUUGGCAUCAUUUUCGGAUAAACUACUGUGAACUAAGCUCUGAAAUUUUACCAUCAUUAUUUGCACUUACCAAGGAACAUUUGGUAUGAAGUAGUCGAAGACCAAUUCUGAAGUCUCGGUGAAGAUUCAAUUGAACGAAGUUUCGGAAGCAGAAAAUGAAUCCUAGUUGAUAGAAUAAGGGUAACUUGGCCGAGAAUCCAUUUUGGACAGAUUUGUUGUGCAUUUUUGGAAGGGUUAUGUUGCUACAAUUCUCAAGGAGAUUUCUAGAAGAAUCUUACA
rnacentral:lncRNA from 1 species